rnacentral:rRNA from 1 species
UGGCGGCAGGCCUAACACAUGCAAGUCGAGCGGAUGAAAGGGGCUUGCUCCUGGAUUCAGCGGCGGACGGGUGAGUAAUGCGCAGGAAUCUACUAGUAGUGGGGAUAACGUUUCGAAAGGAACGCUAAUACCGCAUACGUUCUGAGGAAGAAAGCAGGGGAUCGUAAGACCUUGCGCUAUUAGAUGAGCUUGCGUCCGAUUAGCUAGUUGGUGGGGUAAAAGGCCUACCAAGGCGACGAUCGGUAACUGGUCUGAGAGGAUGAUCAGUCACACUGGAACUGAGACACGGUCCAGACUCCUACGGGAGGCAGCAGUGGGGAAUAUUGGACAAUGGGGGCAACCCUGAUCCAGCCAUGCCGCGUGUGUGAAGAAGGCCUUCGGGUUGUAAAGCACUUUAAGCGGGGAGGAAGGCCUGAUGGCUAAUAUCCAUCGGGAUUGACGUUACCCGCAGAAUAAGCACCGGCAAACUUCGUGCCAGCAGCCGCGGUAAUACGAAGGGUGCGAGCG